UGGUGGACUUUUGGUGGAGGAACCAGACUGGAGGUUGGAAGUGAUGCCCGUCCCACCCUGACAGUGCUGCCCCCCUCCAGUGAGGAGCUGCAGCAGGGGAAGGCCACCCUCAUGUGUCUGGCCAACAAGGGCUUCCCCUCAGACUGGAGUCUGUCCUGGACGCUGGACGGCAGCAGCAGCUUCACCUGGGAAGAAAACAAGAGCCGAGUGGUGCUGCAGAAGGACGGCCUCUACAGCUGGAGCAGCACCCUGAGGCUCCCUGCAGACCAGUGGAGGAAGGUGGGCUCUGUGACCUGUGAGGCCUCCAAGGGCUCCCAGCCUGCAGUCACACAGACGCUGACCAGAGACCAGUGUUCCCAGUCCUGAGCUCAUUCACUGGGA